GAUGAACGCUGACAGAAUGCUUAACACAUGCAAGUCUACUUGAACUUCGGUUUGGGUGGCGGACGGGUGAGUAACGCGUAAAGAACUUGCCUCACAGAUAGGGACAACAUUUGGAAACGAAUGCUAAUACCUGAUAUUAUGAUUUUAGGGCAUCCUAGAAUUAUGAAAGCUAUAUGCACUGUGAGAGAGCUUUGCGUCCCAUUAGCUAGUUGGAAAGGUAACGGCUCACCAAGGCGAUGAUGGGUAGCCGGCCUGAGAGGGUGAUCGGCCACAAGGGGACUGAGACACGGCCCUUACUCCUACGGGAGGCAGCAGUGGGGAAUAUUGGACAAUGGACCAAGAGUCUGAUCCAGCAAUUCUGUGUGCACGAUGAAGUUUUUCGGAAUGUAAAGUGCUUUCAGUUGGGAAGAAAAAAAUGACGGUACCAGCAGAAGAAGUGACGGCUAAAUACGUG
rnacentral:rRNA from 1 species